GUUUGAUUCUGUUUUUCUUCUCAUUUACAUAAAGUCUCUGAUAUUUUUGAUUCCGUCUCUUUCCUCUCCUUCUCUAUAUCGGGAACAAGAUCGAGAUUGAAAAAAAAAUUGUGAGACAUGGUUAAGACCAGUCGUAGCUCUUCAUCUUCCAAGAGUUUCUCUUCUUCUUCUUCAUCCCCUGAACCGUCUUCUCAUCUCCACGCCCUACCAAGCGAUCUAAGGUCAAGAUCCAUGCUGCUAUUUAAUCUGUAGCGGCGGCGGAACUGGCGGGGUCUUCGUCGGCGAGCGAGGUUCCGGUUGAGAAAUAAGGACCGGUUUCAGAUUCUGGAUUCGGAAUCUGGAGAGUCGGAGCUUGGAUCCUCUGAUCCGUAAGCUAUGGAUGCAGAGAAGCCUGUUUUAACCGAUGUGCCUGUGAUGGAGAUCUCUCUUGAAGCCGACACAAACCCUGAAGCCGAUGUGGUGGUGACACCUACAAUAGCAGGUGAAGUGGUGACGAAUGGUGAGAAGUAGAAGGCAGGGAAGAAGCUAGCUAAGGCUCCACGGGCGAAGCUACUUUCUCAGUAUUCUUAGGUGGGUCAAGUUUCAUCAGUGAUUGUUUUUUUAUUGGUUUGAUUUAAUAGUCUGCGAAUUGGGUCUUAAGAGUUUAGCAGUGUGCUGUUCGUGUAAUAUUUUUAGUGAAGGUUCGGUCUUUCAGUUCAUGAGGAACGAGUUUAGUUGUCUGCAUGUCCAUUUCUUUUAUAUUUUUUCCUGUCUUUGUUCUACAAUCUCACGCUUUAAGAUUGAUGGAGUGUUUUUUGAUGGUUAUUUCUUUGUCCGCCGUAAUAUUUCUUUAGUGUUUGCAAAAAAAGAAAAAAAAAAAGGGAUUGUGGCCUGUU